rnacentral:rRNA from 2 species
UGGGGAAUAUUGCACAAUGGGGGAAACCCUGAUGCAGCAACGCCGCGUGAGUGAUGAAGUCCUUCGGGUUGUAAAGCUCUGUCUUUGGGGACGAUAAUGACGGUACCCAAGGAGGAAGCCACGGCUAACUACGUGCCAGCAGCCGCGGUAAUACGUAGGUGGCAAGCGUUGUCCGGAUUUACUGGGCGUAAAGGAUGCGUAGGCGGAUAUUUAAGUGAGAUGUGAAAUACCCGGGCUCAACUUGGGUGCUGCAUUUCAAACUGGAUAUCUAGAGUGCAGGAGAGGAAAGUGGAAUUCCUAGUGUAGAGGUGAAAUGCGUAGAGAUUAGGAAGAACAUCAGUGGCGAAGGAGGCUUUCUGGACUGUAACUGACGCUGAGGCAUGAAAGCGUGGGGAGCAAACAGG